ensembl:lncRNA
GUAAGAAACAGAAGAUCGGAAUCAUGUUCACUCAGACCCAGGUGUCUGUGCUCAACGACAGACUUCAGAGGCAGGAAUCAGCCUCCAGCAGAUGCAAGAACUUUCCAAUAUCCUGAAACUUAGCUACAAAUAGGUGAAGCCCUGAUUCCAGAACCAGAAAAACAACUGACGGAGGAAAAGCGACUCUGACUCAGGGCUCAACAACCACAGAAUUCCUGGGUUUCUAUUUCUGGCAUAGGACUGCUUGGUGACCUCUUCUGGAAACCUGCCUAUACGGAGUGAACGGACCUAGGAUGUCUCACCUGGGAGCAGCCAGAGCUGGAACAGUUGGUCUUGAAGCAACCACCCUAGAAAGACUCAGAGCUGGUAUCCCCAAGCCUGGAAAAGCCAGACUUGGAACAAUCAGUUCAACAAACAUGUCAGGAAUUGCCGGGGUCCAGCCCCGGUGGAUCCAGGGAAUUCGAAGCGGGGACGGCGUCGGUGACUCAGUGGUAAAGGACCCAUCUGCCAGUGCAGGAGACACCAGUUCAAGCCCUGGGUUGGGAAGAUCCCCUGAAGAAAGAAAUGGCAACCCAGUCCAGUAUUCUUGCCUGGAAAAUCCCAUGGACAGAGGAGCCUGGCAGACUACAGGCCACGCAGUCACAAAAGAGUUGGACAGGACUUAAUAAUUAACAUACACAAGAGACAACUCUACACAUGGGCAUCACCAGAUGGUCAAUACCCAAAUCAGAUUGAUUCUAUUCUUUGCAGCUGAAGAUGGAGAAGCUCUAUACAGUCAGCAAAAACAAUACCAGGAGCUGAUUGUGGCUCAGAUCAUGAACUUCUUACUGCAAAAUUCAGACUGAAACUCCAGAAAGUAGGAAAAACCACUAGACCAUUCAGGUAUGAUCUAAAUCAAAUCCCUUAUGAUCAUACAGUGGAAAUGACAAAUAGAUUCAAGGGAUUAGAUCUGAUAGACAGAGUGCCUGAAGAACUAUGGAUGGAAGUUCGUGACAUUGUACAGGAGGCAGGGAUCAAAACCAUCCCCAAGAAGAAGAAAUCCAAAAAGGCAAAAUGGUUGUCUGAGGAGGACUUACAAAUACCUGAGAAAAGAAAUGAAAGGCAAAGAAGAAAAGAAAAGAUAUACCCACCUGAAUGCAGAGUUCCAAAAAAUAGCAAGGAGAGAUAAGAAAGCCUUUGUAAGUGACCAAUGCAAA